UGUAGGGAUAUAUGGGGCUCUAUGGGGUUUUAUGGCGUCUCUAUGGAGUCUUAUGGGGUCCAUAAGGGAUCUUAUGGGGUCUCUAUGGGGUCGCUAUGGGGUCCCUAUGGGUCUCUAUGGGGUUUCUAUGGGUCUCUAUAGGGUUUUAUGGUGUCUCUAUGAGUCUCUAUGGGGUCUUAUGGGGUCUCUAUGGGUCCCUAUGGGGUCUUAUGUGGUCCCUAUGGGUCUCUAUGGGGUCUUACGGGGUCCCUAUGGGGUCUUAUGGGGUUUUAUGGGGUCUCUAUGGGUCCCUAUGGGGUCUUAUGGGGUCUCUAUGGGGUUUUAUGGAGUCCAUAUGGGAACUUAUAGGGUCUCUAAGGGUCCCUAUGGGGUCUUAUGGGAUCCCUAUGGGGUCUUAUGGGGUCUCUAUGGGGUCUCUAUGGGUCCCUAUGGGUCUCUAUGAGGUCCCUAUGGGGUCUUAUGGGGUCUCUAUGGGGUUUUAUGGUGUCUCUAUGGGUCUCUAUGGGGUCUUAUGGGGUCCCUAUGGGGUCUUAUGGGGUCUCUAUGGGGUCUCUAUGGGUCCCUAUGGGUCUCUAUGGGGUCUCUAUGGGGUCUUAUGGGGUUCCUAUGGGGUUUUAUGGGGUCCAUAUGGGGUCUUAUGGGGUCCCUAUGGGUCUCUAUGGGGUCUUAUGGGUCUCUAUGGGUUCUUAGGGGGUCCCUAUGGGGUUUUUAUGGGGUCCCUAUGGGGUUUUUAUGGGGUCCCUCUGUGUCCCCACGCGUGGCGCGCUGUUCGCAGGUCUCGCAGCAGGGGGCGCUGU
rnacentral:lncRNA from 1 species